ensembl:lncRNA
CAUGGAAUGAGCACUUUGUGGGGGCGGUUCAUGAGGGGGAAGGUGGUUGGGGGUGGGACUCAUUUGCAUAUAUUAGCAUACGAGGGUGGGAUUGGGGUGUUAAUUAGUAUAUGCUAAUGAGGAUGGGAUCGGCCAUAGGGAAGAAGUCGUUAAUUAGCGGCCUUCACGAGCUGCGGAUCGUUACUAUUGAGGCUUCGUGUUGGUUGAAGGCUGGGCUCAUUUGCAUACAUUAGCAUAUGAGGAUCGAGAGUGCAUACGAGGAUCGAGAAUGCUCGCUAAUUAGCAUUGCUAAUGAGGACGGGAUCAGCACUAACGAAGACUUCGUUAAUUAGCGACCUUAACGAGUUGUCCAUUGUUACCAUUGAGGCUCUUCAGUGAUUGAAUGCUGGGCUCAUUUGCAUAAAUUAGCAUACGAGGAUCAAGAAGGGUCGCUAAUUAAGGCCACUAAUGAGGUUCGGAUUGACGAUGAUGGAGACUUCGUUAAUUAGCAGCCUUGUUAAUUAGCGGCCUUGACGAGCUGUGGAUUGCUAUCAUGGAGGCCUCGCAUUGGUUGAAAGCUGAGCUCAUUUGCAUGAAUUAGCAUACGGGGAUCAAGAAAGGAUGUUAAUUAGAGCUGCUAAUGAAGAUUGGAUCAGCGCUAACGAAGAGUUUGUUAAUUAGGAACCUUAAUGAGCAAUCCAUCGUUACCUUCGAGGCUUUUCAGUGGUUGAAAGCUGGGCUCAUUUGCAUAAAUUAGCAUACGAGGAUCAAGAAAGGACGUUAAUUGGCGCUGCUAAUGAAGAUUGGAUCAGCGCUAACGAAGAGUUUGUUAAUUAGGAACCUUAAUGAGCAAUCCAUCGUUACCUUGGAGGCUUUUCAGUGGUUGAAAGCUGGGCUCAUUUGCAUAAAUUAGCAUACGAGGAUCAAGAAAGGACGUUAAUUGGCGCUGCUAAUGAGGAUCCAAUCAGUGCUAACGAAGACUUCGUUAAUUAGCGACCUUAACGAGCUGCGGAUCGUUACCAUGGAGGCCACGGAUUGGUUGAAAGCUGGGCUCAUUUGCAUAAAUUAGCAUACGAGGAUCAAGAAGCGUCGUUAAUUAGAGCUGCUAAUGAGGAUCCGAUCAGCGCUAAUGAAGAUCUUGUUAAUUAGCGGAUGAAGGCUUCGUUAAUGAGCGGCUUUGACGAGCUGCGGGUCGUUACCAUGGAGGCUUCUCAUUGGUCGAAAGCUGGGCUCAUUUGCAUACAUUUGCAUAGGAGGAUCACGAAAGCUCGUUCCUGAGCACUAAUUAACGGGGCUUAAUGAGGCUGCUUAAUGAGCUCGGCGCAGCGGUAACGAAGGCCGCCUUAAUUAGCGAGCGCGGCUCCCGGCGUCGGCUUCCCAUUGGUCGAGAGCCCCCCUCAUUAGCAUAUAUGAAUGGUUAAUGAGGGGGCGGUGUUGAAUGGGUUUCAAUGGGGGCCAAUGGGGUUUAAUGGGGGUUAAUGGGGUCUUAUAGGGUCUUAAUGGGGUUUAUGGGGUCUUAAUGGGGUU